rnacentral:rRNA from 1 species
ACCAACAGGGAUUGCCCCAGUAACGGCGAGUGAAGCGGCAACAGCUCAAAUUUGAAAUCUGGCCCCCAGGGCCCGAGUUGUAAUUUGCAGAGGAUGCUUUUGGCGACGCGCCUUCCGAGUUCCCUGGAACGGGACGCCAUAGAGGGUGAGAGCCCCGUCUGGUUGGACGCCGAGCCUCUGUAAAGCUCCUUCGACGAGUCGAGUAGUUUGGGAAUGCUGCUCUAAAUGGGAGGUAUAUGUCUUCUAAAGCUAAAUACCGGCCAGAGACCGAUAGCGCACAAGUAGAGUGAUCGAAAGAUGAAAAGCACUUUGAAAAGAGGGUUAAAUAGUACGUGAAAUUGUUGAAAGGGAAGCGCUCACGACCAGACUUGAGCCCGGUGAAUCAUCCAGCGUUCUCGCUGGUGCACUUCGCCGGGCCCAGGCCAGCAUCGGUUCGCCGCGGGGGAGAAAGGCGUCGGGAACGUGGCUCCCUCGGGAGUGUUAUAGCCCGUCGCACAAUACCCUGGGGCGGACCGAGGUUCGCGCAUCUGCAAGGAUGCUGGCGUAAUGGUCGUCAGCGACCCGUCUUGAAACACGGACCAGGGAGUCUUCUUCGUAUGAGAGUGUUCGGGUGUCAAACCUCUACGCGUAAUGAAAGUGUACGCGGGUGAGAGCUACGGCUCUUCAGCGACCGAGCCUGAUGUUCUAGGAUGGAUAUCAGUAACAGCGUACGGCGCCUGAGAGGAAAGAAGGAGAACUCUGCCUGUGAACGUCGAAGAAAAAAGAAACACGGGUGGAGGCUCGCAGCGGUUCUUACGCGAUCUUCGCUCGUCUCCCAGGGGCAGGAGGGCGAAAGACUAAUCGAACCUU